GAAACAAGCCUUUCAAAAGAUCCAUAUGCAUGUCUCAAGGAACCAAACCAGGAUCGAGGUGCUGGAGACAGUACUAAAAGCUGAAAAGGUCAAGUGCGUGGUCUAAAGUGUUGUUAUUGUCCUCUGGGUCAUCAUUGGCAAGUGGGUUGCGGCUGAUGACCAGUUCCAGUCUGUCUCCUGCUUCUGUGAUGAGAGUGAGGCCUUUGACUUGGGCUCGUGGUGCAGGAGAGGGGAUUGGAUAUCUUGGUGAAUGUGGACCCCUUGUUGUAGGUGCAAUUCCUGGUUGAAAUGGGCCUCCUCGUGCAGAUGGGGGUCUGAGUGGCAAACAUAUUGCAAUGACUAACCUUGGUGAAGUUGAGCCUCUUCAUGAAGGUGGGCUUCCUCGUGAAGAUGGACACCCUGAUGGAGGUGUGUUCCCUGGUGGUGCAAGUUGCCUUGAUGCAGG